GUUUGAUCCUGGCUCAGAUCGAACGCUGGCGGCAGGCCUAACACAUGCAAGUCGAACGAACUCUUCGGAUUUAGUGGCGGACGGGUGAGUAACACGUGUGGAACGUGCCUUUAGGUUUGGAAUAACUCGGGGGACUUGUGCUAAUACCGAUGGUGCCCUUCCGGGGAAACAUUUAUCGCCUUUAGGGCGUCCCCCGACCGAUUACCUAUUUGGGAACGUAAAGGCUCUCCACUGCUACGAUCGGUAACUGGCCUGAAAGGAUAAUAUCCCUCAUUGGGACUAAAACAUGAUCCACCCUCCUGCGGCAGGCACCCGUGCGGAAUCUUGCCCGAUGGGCGAAAGGCUGAAUCUUGCAUGCCGCGUGAAUGAUGAAUGUCUUAAGAUUGUAAAAUUCUUUCACCGCUUACGAUAAUGACGGUCCCCGGACAAGAAGCCCCGGCUCACUUCUUGCCCUCUGCCACGGUGAUACUAACGCGGCUAGCGUUGCUCGGAAUUACUGGGGGCAAAGGGAGCGUAAGUAGACAUUUAGCUCACGUGUGACAUCUCUGCGCUCAACCUCGGAAGUGCCUUUGAUACUGGGUGUCUUGAGUAUGAUACAUGAGUGUGGAUCUCCAAGUGUAUACGUGACUGUCGUACAUAUUCGUAAGAGACCAUGUGGCGAAUGCGACACACUGGCUCAAUACUGACGCUGAACGCUCGGAAGCCUGGGGAGCAAACGGGACUUCAUACCCUGGUACUCCACGUCAUAUACGAUGAUUUGCUAGAUCACGGGAUGUAUGAUUCUCUGGUGACCCAUGUCACGCAUUGAUGUCUACGACUGGUGAGUACGGUCGAGAGAUUAAAGCUCCAAACGAACUGGACUGAAUCACUAG
rnacentral:rRNA from 1 species